UUGAUCCUGGCUCAGGACGAACGCUUUAUGCGUGGUUACGACAUGCAAGUCGAACGAGAAGCUCCUUCGGGGAGUGGAGAGUGGCGCACGGGUGAGUAACACGUGAGCAACCUGCCGGGAAGCCCGGGAUAGCCCUCCGAAAGGAGGAUUAAUACCGUGAUGUGGCCACCCUGCGAUUGCAGGGGAAGCUAAAGGAUUUAUUCACUUCCCGAUGGGCUCGCGGCCCAUCAGCUUGUUGGUGAGGGUAACGGNCCACCAAGGCGACAACGGGUAGCUGGUCUGAGAGGAUGGUCAGCCACACUGGAACUGAGACACGGUCCAGACACCUACGGGUGGCAGCAGUCGAGAAUCAUUCGCAAUGGGGGAAACCCUGACGAUGCGACGCCGCGUGGAGGAUGAAGGCCUUAGGGUUGUAAACUCCUGCCAAGAGGGACUAAGCAAGUGAAGGUACCUCUAGAGGACGGGGCGGCUAAUUCCGUGCCAGCAGUCGCGGUAACACGGAAGCCCCGAGCGUUG
rnacentral:rRNA from 1 species